AUCUAGGACUUCGCUGUUUAAAUAUGAUCUCACAUAGAACCUCAUCUGACUCUAACAGCAAAUAAUACUUGAGGUAUUUGCAGGGGUAUUUGGAGUAAUUCCUUAGGACUUUAAGUCUUUGUAGGAAAGAAAGAUGCAAGGAAAACGGUUUAAUGGCAACCCCAAUGAUCUUUAAACUGUAGGUUUUAUUUUUGGUAUCUUGUAGAUGAGGCCAUUGAGAGAUUGUCUGGUCCAUGGCAAAGUUGGGACUUGAAAUCUGGUUCAAGUUCAACCGGACUUCAAGUCCGGUUCUUUGCCUUUGAAGCACAUGUGCCUUUUUCUAUACAAUUCAGUGAAAUUAACCUUGAAUAUAGAGUUGAGGCCCUAAAGGUCCAGAAAUUAUUUUUGAUGCAAUUAUUUACUGGGUUCUAAUCCCUAAAGAAGGUCUCAGUGUGACAUUUUGAUCCUCAUGGAGACAGAAUUUAAAGAUGGAGGCAGCCCUGGAAGCUGCAUCAAAACCUUUGGCAAAAGAACAACAUC
rnacentral:lncRNA from 1 species